rnacentral:rRNA from 1 species
GAGCCUGAGAAACGGCUACCACAUCNNNGGAUGGCAGCAGGCGCGCAAAUUACCCAAUCCCGACACGGGGAGGUAGUGACAAUAAAUAACAAUACGGGGUUCUUUCGGAUCUCGUAAUUGGAAUGAGUACAAUUUAAAUCUCUUAACGAGGAACAAUUGGAGGGCAAGUCUGGUGCCAGCAGCCGCGGUAAUUCCAGCUCCAAUAGCGUAUANNNAAGUUGUUGCAGUUAAAAAGCUCGUAGUUGAAUUUCGGGGUUAGUAGGUUGGUCAUGCCUCUGGUAUGUACUGGUCUCACUGAUUCCUCCUUCCUUAUGAACCGUAAUGCCAUUAAUUUGGUGUUGCGGGGAAUUUGGACUGUUACUUUGAAAAAAUUAGAGUGUUUAAAGCAAGCUAACGCUUGAAUACAUUAGCAUGGAAUAAUGAAAUAGGACGUUCGAUCUUAUUUUGUUGGUUUCUAGGAUUGACGUAAUGAUUAAUAGGGAUAGUUGGGGGCAUUAGUAUUCGAUUGUCAGAGGUGAAAUUCUUGGAUUUAUUGAAGACUAACUACUGCGAAAGCAUUUGCCAAGGAUGUUUUCAUUAAUCAAGAACGAAAGUUAGGGGAUCGAAGACGAUCAGAUACCGUCGUAGUCUUAACCAUAAACUAUGCCGACUAGGGAUCGGAUGAUGUUAAUUUUUUAAUGACUCAUUCGGCGCCUUACGGGAA